CACGUAGGGGGCGAGCGUUGUCCGGAUUUAUUGGGCGUAAAGAGCUCGUAGGCGGCUCAGUAAGUCAGGUGUGAAAACUCCAGGCUCAACCUGGAGACGCCACCUGAUACUGCUGUGGCUAGAGUCCGGUAGGGGAGCAUGGAAUUCCUGGUGUAGCGGUGAAAUGCGCAGAUAUCAGGAAGAACACCCGUGGCGAAGGCGGCUCUCUGGGACGGUACUGACGCUGAGACGCGAAAGCGUGGGGAGCUAACAGG
rnacentral:rRNA from 1 species